rnacentral:tRNA from 1 species
ACUCGCUGCUCGAGGGGGCCGUGUUCGGCGCUCGCGCCGCCGAGGCUCUGGGUGCUCCGACCCCGCAUCCCGUGUUCCGGUCGCUGACCGGGUC